rnacentral:rRNA from 1 species
CUUGCUUCUCUUGAGAGCGGCGGACGGGUGAGUAAUGCCUAGGAAUCUGCCUGGUAGUGGGGGAUAACGUCCGGAAACGGACGCUAAUACCGCAUACGUCCUACGGGAGAAAGCAGGGGACCUUCGGGCCUUGCGCUAUCAGAUGAGCCUAGGUCGGAUUAGCUAGUUGGUGGGGUAAUGGCUCACCAAGGCGACGAUCCGUAACUGGUCUGAGAGGAUGAUCAGUCACACUGGAACUGAGACACGGUCCAGACUCCUACGGGAGGCAGCAGUGGGGAAUAUUGGACAAUGGGCGAAAGCCUGAUCCAGCCAUGCCGCGUGUGUGAAGAAGGUCUUCGGAUUGUAAAGCACUUUAAGUUGGGAGGAAGGGCAGUAAAUUAAUACUUUGCUGUUUUGACGUUACCGACAGAAUAAGCACCGGCUAACUCUGUGCCAGCAGCCGCGGUAAUACAGAGGGUGCAAGCGUUAAUCGGAAUUACUGGGCGUAAAGCGCGCGUAGGUGGUUCGUUAAGUUGGAUGUGAAAUCCCCGGGCUCAACCUGGGAACUGCAUUCAAAACUGACGAGCUAGAGUAUGGUAGAGGGUGGUGGAAUUUCCUGUGUAGCGGUGAAAUGCGUAGAUAUAGGAAGGAACACCAGUGGCGAAAGCGACCACCUGGACUGAUACUGACACUGA